rnacentral:rRNA from 1 species
AUGCGUUCUCCCAAGCAACCGGCGAAGCUCACCAUGCUUUUACUGUUGGCGUUGCUGCUGUUCUGUUAUGGAGUCGGCAACGUGCAUUGCUCGACGAUCCACGAGAACAGGGUCGAUCUGCAGGCGCUGCUGGACUUCCAGCAGGGCAUCGCUAGCGACCCUCAAGGAGCCUUGAGUAACUGGAACACCACAACCCACUUCUGCCACUGGAAUGGUGUCAACUGCACCACGACACCACCAUUCCGCGUCACACAGCUCAAACUCAGCGGCUGGAACUUAGCAGGCCAAAUCACCUCCUCUCUUGGGAACCUAACUUUCCUCGCAUAUCUUGACCUUUCGGGGAAUAACUUCGUUGGCCCCUUACCUGUCAUUGGGCAUCUCCAACAACUCAGACACUUUCUCUGA